AUUACCCAAUCCGGACACGGUGAGGUAGUGACAAGAAAUAACAAUACAGGGCUUUCGUCUUGUAAUUGGAAUGAUGGUGAUGUACAACCUCACCAGAGUACCAAUUGGAGGGCAAGUCUGGUGCCAGCAGCCGCGGUAAUUCCAGCUCCAAUAGCGUAUAUUAAACUUGUUGCAGUUAAAAAGCUCGCAGUUGUAUUUCAGCCUCGCGUUUUUUCCCUCUUUUCGGGUCUUUUCGCUGGCUUUGUUUCUACUUUGAGAAAAUUAGAGUGUUUCAAGCAGACUUUUGUCUUGAAUACUUCAGCAUGGAAUAAUAGAGUAGGACCUUGGUUCUAUUUUGUUGGUUUCGAGCCUCGGUAAUGGUUAAUAGGAACGGUUGGGGGCAUUCGUAUUUAA
rnacentral:rRNA from 1 species